CUGACGUGUUUCAUACCGAUUGUUAGACCGUUCUUGGCACACUGAUUUUGACUACGGAUAACUCCGUUUACCUGAUCAAGAUAUAGGACUUACGGCGGUUGUGACCGGUCGACAGGGGAUGCUUACUCCUCCUAGGCACCUGAUCCCACCUCUGGCGUGUCCAGGGGUACGUGUUUGCCCAACUCUCUAUUUUGUAUUGCCUAUAGGAGUUAUGAGAUUGAUCACUGUUCGUUAUCUUCACCUUUCCUUUCACCCUUAUGUAUCUUCAAAUUUCUUAAAGAGACACUACAGCUCAUUUUGCGCAAAAAUCAUGAAAUGACAAUUUUCCCAGCGCUUUCUCAAUUUUUGUUGCAUUGUUGAAAGUAUGAACUUUACGAAAAUAACACUUAUCUAAAGUUAAAAAUUAUCGUUUUAACGUAAAAAUUAAUACUUUUUGAUGGCCUAUACAAAAAAUAUCGAGUCUCCUCCUUUUAGUCUUCAGACGCAUGCGCAUAGACAGUAAACAGUGCAGCAUGUCGUCCAGUGAGAGAAAGUGUAGUUGAUAGAUCUAGAAUUUUGACAGAUUCUGUGAGAAAAGAGGUAAAAAUAGAAUGAGAUAAAACUCAUGCGUGAAAUAAAAUUUACCUAGGGAUCAGUAUGACCGUUGGAAAACAGAGAGCUCGGAGAAACGCAUGUAACUCAGUGGCGGAUCUAGGAUUUCCGAAGAGGGGUGUGAAAGUAAAAGAUUAGCCAAAGUAAUCGGCUAUUCGGGUGCAAAAUUUGGAUUUUCAUUCACAAUCUGUGACGUAAAAAGGGAGGGGGGAUACUGGCCCCCUAAAUCUGCCAUUGAGACUAGCUGCGAAGACACUACGUUUGAAAGUAAGUGCUAUUUUUAUCUGAACACGACACGUGUUAGUUGUAAAAACAUCGGUCAAUGGGAAUAUGGAAGGGUUUCUGUUGAAAUAAUGAUUUAUAAUUAGUUAUUAUAAGUAGCAGGGAAUAAUCUUAUGUACUUGAAAGGUGAGUGUGGACCCCCUUGAAGGGGAAUUUAGAUAAGUUCAUACACAACACUUUUGCUGUCAUUCAAAACCACGUGAUGUAAAUAAGCAUUCAAAAGUCCGAGUCAGCAUGAAGAAAUCUUUGAAUUCCGGACGAUCUUCAAAGCGCAGUUGAGAGUAAAUUGAUGCAUCCCAAUUGUUCAAAAUUGUCAGUAUCGAUGUGAAUUUUAUCAUUUUAUCAAUAUGUGGUUUAAAAAACACUUCAUUAAAAUAUGGAAAAUGAGCUGUAGUGUCUCUUUAAUUAUCAUAUAUACUGAGCUUAGAUAGGAAACAACUAGGGUACACUUAGAGGGAGGUGAUCAAGAACAUUUCAUCACGAAUAGAAAGAUACCGUGACAGAGUUAAAACAAAAGAAGAGAACCUGAACUAAUAUGCAUAGACUACGCAUGCUUGUCCUUGCGAGAAUGUUAAAGAGUGUGUCAUUUACAAGAAUAAAUGACAUGGAAAAAUAUCUGAAGGAAGGGGGUUCAGACCGGCGAAGUCCGCGUUUGUGAAUUCAAGCGGAAAUAUUUCAGUUGCCUACGGAAAAGAAAUUGCUAGAAGCUAAUAUCUCGGAGCAUCUAUCAAAGAUGUGUCAAAAAUGUGAUUUGAUGACUGUCGGACAAUUUCCAUUAGACUGUAUUUUACCCUUAAGAAGUGUUGCAGAAACCUCGCUAUGGCGAAAUCCAAUUUAUGCACCAAAGGUCGCCACUAUAGCUUGAGAUAAGGAUAUACCAUCUUAAAAUGACUUGACAUGAUUAGAGCGUGAUACUACAUAUCAGAACAUGUCUUCUCACAGAUGCAUGUACUGUCAGUUUUGAAUUACCCAGAUUUACAAUAUUUUGAUAUGAAAAACGUUUCAUUCUUGUUUCACCUAAUGGGAGCUUAGGAAAAAGCAAUGGAGAUGAGUAAUGAAUACCUGUCCCUUGAUUGCAUGUGAAUUCACUCAGACUGAAAGAAACGUGUAAACUGCAAGCUACCUGUGAGGUGUGAAUGUGCUAGAUGCAUCUCCAUGUCAACAGUAGGUGAACGUUAUUUGCUGUAAAGAAAUGGGGACAAUUCCGGCUGAAGCCGACAUGGUCUAUACGCUUCCAUGUAUGAAUAUCUACAGAAUGUUGGACCUUUAGAUAAAAAUCAACCUUUCAAUGAAUAUGUCAAUUGUUAGCAUGCUGACAAUUUAUUAGAUGGAUGAGGCAUUUUCUUGGGAGGGGGUGGGCGCCGAAAGAUUUUGCUUGCAUGUGUUGUAACAAAGAUCAAGGAACCCAUCCUAUCAAAACAGUACUGUGGUUUCAGAUAUGCAUUGUAAAAUGUAUAUUGUACAACAUAAUACAUAUAGAUAAAGUACAUAUUGUAAUGGAUUAACAAAUAAAGAUUAUAAAAAUA